AACGAACGCUGGCGGCAUGCCUAACACAUGCAAGUCGAACGAGACCUUCGGGUCUAGUGGCGCACGGGUGCGUAACGCGUGGGAACCUUCCUUUAGGUUCGGAAUAACUCAGAGAAAUUUGAGCUAAUACCGGAUGAUGUCUUCGGACCAAAGAUUUAUCGCCUUUAGAUGGGCCCGCGUUGGAUUAGCUAGUUGGUGGGGUAAAGGCCUACCAAGGCGACGAUCCAUAGCUGGUCUGAGAGGAUGAUCAGCCACACUGGGACUGAGACACGGCCCAGACUCCUACGGGAGGCGGCAGUGGGGAAUAUUGGACAAUGGGCGAAAGCCUGAUCCAGCAAUGCCGCGUGAGUGAUGAAGGCAUUAGGGUUGUAAAGCUCUUUUAACCGAGAUGAUAAUGACAGUAUCGGGAGAAUAAGCUCCGGCUAACUCCGUG
rnacentral:rRNA from 1 species